rnacentral:rRNA from 1 species
UACGGAGGGAGCUAGCGUUGUUCGGAUAUACUGGGCGUAAAGCGCACGUAGGCGGCGCCGUAAGUCAGGGGUGAAAUCCCGGAGCUCAACUCCGGAACUGCCCUUGAAACUGCAGUGCUAGAAUCUUGGAGAGGUCAGUGGAAUUCCGAGUGUAGAGGUGAAAUUCGUAGAUAUUCGGAAGAACACCAGUGGCGAAGGCGACUGACUGGACAAGUAUUGACGCUGAGGUGCGAAAGCGUGGGGAGCAAACAGG